GUUUCUCUCAAUGAACACAAUCCAGGCUGACACCCACAUUAGAUCAUAUGGUGAGCAUCACCAGUCUUCUGUCGUCCAGAAAAUUUCUUAUAUGAAAGAAAGAGUGUGCUGACAUCAGCAAAGGUUCCAGGAAUCUACAAGUCCCUGAGAAAGACACUUUCCCAGAAAAGAGUAUCAUUUUGGGAGUGUGGGUUGUGAAAAAGGAAGUGAUGACUGAAGAGGAGAGAGGAUUAAUUUAGAUCUGCAUAUGUAAUAGAUGAAUUUAUGAGCAUGCUGGGACUCACCUCCAGAAGACACAAAUCAUUCUACUCUUAUUGAAAUUACAACUUCCUGUGUUUUAUGCCAUUUCACAACCUAGCCACUGAUUUUCUUGACUCAUCUUCAUCUAUCAAAAUAUAUGAGGAACACAAACCCUUAAAAGUCUAAGUAAAGAUUUCUAAAAGUCACUAACUGUUUUUUGAAAUACCUCUGAUAAAUUUUGAUUUUCAAAGAGACUUUCAAAGUGCAGUUUCUGAAAAUCAGGCAUUAUAUAAUGCACUGGAGGAUGGACACAUCCAGAAAACAGCUAGACAUCCAUGCCUUCUAACAGCUUUUGAAAAAAUCAGUGUAUUGUACCAGUUAGAAACUACAUACUAGAUUUAAGGAUCAAUAUAUUGUGCUUUAAUUGUAAAACUUACAUAGGAUGUUUCAAAAUGAAUGUAUCAGCUUUUUAUUGGAAGAUGGAAAGCUUGCCUCUGAAGAAGACACAUGUGCCUGCAAGGAAAAAUCUAUUCAGAGACUGUUCUCACUUAUAAAAAAAACCCUCUCCAAACUGGAUCUUGAGACUGGGAUGGGUUAGAACAGUUAUUUCUCAAAAUGUUGUUCACUGUGCUCCUGCACACUGUAUCUCCUUCAAAAAAUUUGAAUCAGCUUCACAAGAGGAAAUGCCUAUCUUUCAGUCACAAUUAGAAAAUUCAUCUCUCUCAGGAGUUCAGGCUGUAUCUAAUCCACUUUCAGCAUGCAAUGCCAUUCAUUCUGGUGUCAAUUUAAAACAAGAAAAAGUGGACAAAAGGAACAAUGGAAUUAAGUCAGAGAAAAUAAACAAUUAUUAUACAAAUUAUUAGAAGUGAGAAAGGCAGGUUUAAAAUACAUCCAAGAAAAUGCUAGUGGCUUGUUGUCCUGGGUUGAUAAGGAAGUGGGUUGAUAAGUUUUUUGGGAAGUUAUGAUCAGAUUUGAAUAUUGGUAUCUCUGUAGAACCUUUUGGGUCUCAAAAAAUUCUUAUUUUUGUGGCUUUAUUUUGUUUCAUUGGGUUUUUUUUCCCCAGAAGUCCCACUAUGGCUAUAGGUUAGGUCAUAUUUCAGCCUGAAGGACACCUGAUAUUUACCGUGAAAUGCCUAACUAAGAAUCACCAUAUAUUUGUCAAGGGAAUAUCCAGGCCUGUAGCAUAUAUAGUUUAGAAUGCCUUCAUUUUGCAACCCUCUCUUCCUUCCCGUGACCCAAAGAUAUUGCAUUCCCUUGGCUCUAACAGAAUAAACAUCUGUAUUAUGGACUACAGCAGGCUGGCAGGGACAGGCUAGGGUUGCUUAGGUUUAGAAUUAUUUUAAUACACCUUUAUUUUGUUUUUGUGGCUUUGAAGUGCUAAACCUGAGGUGACUGGGAUCUCUUCUCCACUUUGUUAUAACUGUUCCCAGGACACACAGGAGACAGCAUUGCCAGCCUAAGAGGCUCAAAGACCUGAUUUGUCUGUUGAGCCCAGGUGUCCACCUACAAUGACAACAAAACUUUCCUCUGUUUGUAGAUCUCAAUGUCACCCCUUGUCACCAUGGCACACAGUCUCAUUUCUGAAUAUGUUCUGACUCCCAUCCACAAAUGUUGCUGGUCAGCCAUUUUAUAUGAAUUUAGUACAGAGUUAUGGAGCUGGCACCAUCUACUGAAACUCUCCCUUUUUUUCCAGCAAGUCUCCCCACAGCCUCUCCAUUCUUGUGUUCAUUGAAACAGUUUGGUGCUAUUUUCCAAAUGAAGCAGCUUCUUUGUAUGGUUUCUUUUUCAAAGAGUGAACUCAUCAUUUGUUACAGUAUGUUUCAGAUUAAAGGAGAACAAUAUUAGUGAUGCCAAAAAAAAGUAUGAAAUGUAAUUGUCAAAUACACUUGAGAAGGCAAAAUGGGUUUUGUAGUUCAUAAAAGUAUUUGAAUCUUGAAAGAAGGUUCAGCCUGUUUUAGAUUACAAUUUCUUUAUGGCUUUUCUUAAAAGGUAUACUCAGUAUAUUUUAUUUCUAAAAAUCAAAGUCAUAAUAUGACCUUGCCUUUGUAGAAAAAGAUCAGCAGCUGUAGAUGAUGAAAAUUCACAUUGUUGUAUUUCAGGACAGAACUUUUUAAAAAUAACACUGGAUGUCUUUCAUCAAUUAAAAAGAGAGUCAAAUAACAGAUUUGUGACAAAAGUUUGUACAAUAUUUACCAGUCUGAGAAUUCCUGGACCUAUCCUGAAAAAUGUGAAUUUUACCUUUUACACACUCUAGUUUUUAACCAAGAUAUAAGGGUAUAUUUUCAUUUUGUCUGGUUAAGAUGUAAUGUGCAUUUAGGGAUUUGCCAGUUUGUAGACUAAAUAAGAAGGAAUUGUGUUUUGGUGGUGAGGACAGAUAAGUCUUGUGUUGGUUGCUAAGUGGGACUAUAAAAAAUAUUGUGCUGACCCUAUGACUCCUGUGACUAUGAACUCUUGACUUAGGGCAGCUGGCAAUUUAAUAGUAAAUUAGUACAAAAUGUGACUUAAUUGAAUACAGCAUUUCUAGACAUUCAGAACACCUAACCCACAUUUUUUCCCUAGUUUCAUUUUGUUCGUAUAAAGCUGGUGAACAGAAGUGACUGAUAUGACAUGUACAAUGGCUUUACCAACCUCUGACCUACUGUGUGCCCUUUUCCCAGGCUUAUCUUAAGUGUACAAGCUUGGUUUUGGUUUAGAUCUGUUGCUUACUGGAUUUUGGAUUUUUGUGUUAGCUUUUCAGAAGUCCAAGACCGAUAAAAGCUUGAUUACAUAAGAUAUAGAAAACUGUGCAUCCGUUUCUUCAUUCCA